CUCUCUCUCUUUCUUGAUUCUCUCCAUCUCUUGCUCUCAUCACUCACUAUCUCAAUCUCUCCCUCUCUCCCUCUCUCUAUCUCUCUAUCACUCUCUGUCCUCCGCACUUGACAUCGGCUGCCGUGCUCCAAUGCCACACCGUCUCACCACCACCGCAACAUUACUAGAUGUCGAACAUAAUUUCAAACCACCGGACAGAUAAUAGGGUCCGUCAGACACCUUCUCCAACAGCUAAUGCUACUGCCACCAUCCCACUUGAUAUGGGCACGACGAGUGUGUCUCCGGUCACGCCUUUCGAUCCAACAAUGUCUCCGGCUCCUACAUCUUCGACUUCUUCGGUGACGCAUCCUCUACUCAGCGCCCGACAGACUCAUCGACGGUCCCAGAGUUCUAAGGAGGCUGAGCAGUCUAGUAAGGCUUCCUUUGUCCAUGGAGAGGGGUCCUAUAUAGGUUUUAGGAAAUGUUAUAGUUUUAGGGGAGGUUCUACCGAAUUUUCGGUAGAAAAUAGAAUUUGUCCUAUGCAGACUUCUGAAGACUUCAUAGACCACUCACACCACGACUAAGAAGAUCACCAUUAUGUGGGAUCUUUGACAUCAUGUGGUUGCAACAAAGGAGUAUCACAGUGUGUUGGCCAGCGACAUUGGCUUAGUUAUCAUGAAUAAUUGCCCCUUCAUGUGGGAGUCAUGGAAAGUUAUCCCACCUAAAGUCAAGGAAGCCGUUCUUCAUGAAUUAUCUAUAAGUAUUUUCAACCUCAAAUACUAAAUUUUUAUUAAGUAUGCAAAUAUUAUAAAUUUUAACUACUAUUCAUUUGUUGAGUUUUGCAGCAUCACUAUAAGCUCGCGAACCUCGAUGCCAAUCAAAACUAGUACAUCAACGAGUUUGCACUAGUAGGUUCACUCAGUGGAAGAACAACCUCCACAAGCAUUAUGAGAAAUAUGACGGUCCAGAGGUCGCUCUAGCAGUUGGGUGCCCUAAAGAGUUGGUGGACCGCUGGGAUAAAUGGGAGUAGCUCUGUGGCCAUUUUCAAGAUGAGAAAUACCUAUGGAGGCAAACUCGAUCAAUCGAUCGAAGAAGAAACUUCUUCACCGCUCUGGCUCACGAUACUUCUGUUAUAGGUUGGAGGACCGACAUAAGGGGGUCAAAGUUUCUUGGGAUUGACAUGUUCAAUGAAGUAUACGUACAGCCCGGGGAUAAGCUGACAGAGCAGCUUCAUGAAAGUUAUUCCAAUUAGUAUUAAUAUUAAUUACAUGUAUAUUAAAAGUAAUUUGUUUGUUUUCAUUUUUCUAGCCCUCCACAGUGGAUAAGGGCUAGACCAUUCUGGAGGAAGUGGCUUCCUAGCUUCCUCUAGAGACCCCACCAAUCGAGGAGGUGUUUCCUCCUAAGGAUUCGGGCUUUCAGAUCAUGACAGACACACUCGAUCAGACCCUCGGUCAUAGGCAAGGGAAUGUUCACCGGGGGCUUGGAAAAGCCUGCCUUCGGGACUCGUCUACCUCCUUCUCCAAGCAAGAACAUAAGAGGUCGAAUUGCUAACAUUUGAAGUGGCGAACCUAAAGGAGCAGAUUACCGCCCAUAAGUCUCACCUUGCGGCCUAAAGUAAUUUGAUGAACCAAAUUCGUCUUACCCUUCAAAUCUCUAGCAUUCGGUUCCUCGACUUUGAACCAACUCCAACAAUGACCUCUCAGCCCCCCGCUAUAGCAGCUAUGACCACCUAGCCCCUUACCACAAUAGCUACCACCUCUCAGCCCCCCAAUGCAGCACCAACACCACCAGAAGGCAAUUAUGAUGUGGAUAACUACAUAUUGUAGUUUUUUUUUAAUUAUUUUCAAAUUUUAAAAUAUUUCUUUCCAUUGUAUGUACACUUUCAAUAAUUUUUUAA